rnacentral:rRNA from 1 species
AGCGGCGGAUGGGUGAGUAACACGUGGGGAACCUGCCCCUGAGUCUGGGAUACCAUUUGGAAACAGGUGCUAAUACCGGAUAAUAAAGCAGAUCGCAUGAUCAGCUUUUGAAAGGCGGCGUAAGCUGUCGCUAAGGGAUGGCCCCGCGGUGCAUUAGCUAGUUGGUAAGGUAACGGCUUACCAAGGCGACGAUGCAUAGCCGAGUUGAGAGACUGAUCGGCCACAUUGGGACUGAGACACGGCCCAAACUCCUACGGGAGGCAGCAGUAGGGAAUCUUCCACAAUGGACGCAAGUCUGAUGGAGCAACGCCGCGUGAGUGAAGAAGGUUUUCGGAUCGUAAAGCUCUGUUGUUGGUGAAGAAGGAUAGAGGUAGUAACUGGCCUUUAUUUGACGGUAAUCAACCAGAAAGUCACGGCUAACUACGUGCCAGCAGCCGCGGUAAUACGUAGGUGGCAAGCGUUGUCCGGAUUUAUUGGGCGUAAAGCGAGCGCAGGCGGAAAAAUAAGUCUAAUGUGAAAGCCCUCGGCUUAACCGAGGAACUGCAUCGGAAACUGUUUUUCUUGAGUGCAGAAGAGGAGAGUGGAACUCCAUGUGUAGCGGUGGAAUGCGUAGAUAUAUGGAAGAACACCAGUGGCGAAGGCGGCUCUCUGGUCUGCAACUGACGCUGAGGCUCGAAAGCAUGGGUAGCGAACAGGAUUAGAUACCCUGGUAGUCCAUGCCGUAAACGAUGAGUGCUAAGUGU